CGGGCUGUAGUGUAACGGUAGCACGAGUCCAUGGGGUGGAUUUAUUCCGGGUUCGAAUCCCGGCAGCCCGA
rnacentral:tRNA from 3 species